rnacentral:rRNA from 1 species
UGGGGAAUAUUGGACAAUGGGCGAAAGCCUGAUCCAGCAACGCCGCGUGAGGGAUGACUGCCUUCGGGUUGUAAACCUCUUUCACCUGUGACGAAGCGAAAGUGACGGUAGCAGGAGAAGAAGCACCGGCCAACUACGUGCCAGCAGCCGCGGUAAUACGUAGGGUGCGAGCGUUGUCCGGAAUUAUUGGGCGUAAAGGGCUCGUAGGCGGUUUGUUGCGUCGGGAGUGAAAACUCAGGGCUUAACCCUGAGCCUGCUUCCGAUACGGGCAGACUAGAGGUAUGCAGGGGAGAACGGAAUUCCUGGUGUAGCGGUGAAAUGCGCAGAUAUCAGGAGGAACACCGGUGGCGAAGGCGGUUCUCUGGGCAUUACCUGACGCUGAGGAGCGAAAGUGUGGGGAGCGAACA